CCUACGGGAGGCAGCAGUGAGGAAUAUUGGUCAAUGGUCGAAAGUCUGAACCAGCCAUGUCGCGUGCAGGAUGACGGUUCUAUGGGUUGUAAACCUCUUUUGUCAGGGGGCAAACACACCCACGUGUGGGGGUUGGAAAGUAUAAGAAGAAAAAGGAUCGGCUAACUCCGUGCCAGCAGCCGCGGUAAUACGGAGGAUGCAAGCGUUAUCCGGAUUUAUUGGGUUUAAAGGGUGCGUAGGCGGUUUGAUAAGUUAAGGGUUAAAUACUGGGGCUCAACCCCGUUACGGCCUCUAAUACUGUUGAUCUAGAGAGUGGUUGCGGUAGGCGGAAUGUGUGGUGUAGCGGUGAAAUGCUUAGAGAUCAUACAGAACUCCGAUUGCGAAGGCAGCAUACCGACGCAUGUCUGACGUUGAGGCACGAAAGCGUGGGUAGCGAACAGGAUUAGAUACCCGGGUAGUC
rnacentral:rRNA from 1 species